rnacentral:rRNA from 1 species
CCUACGGGGGGCUGCAGUGGGGGAUAUUGCACAAUGGGGGGAACCCUGAUGCAGCGACGCCGCGUGGGUGAAGAAGCGCCUCGGCGCGUAAAGCCCUGUCAGCAGGGAAGAAAAUGACGGUACCUGAAGAAGAAGCCCCGGCUAACUACGUGCCAGCAGCCGCGGUCAUACGUAGGGGACAAGCGUUAUCCGGAUUUACUGGAUGUAAAGGGGGCGCAGACGGCGAUGCAAGCCAGGAGGGAAAGCCCGGGGGCCAACCCCGGGACUGCGCUUGGAACUGCGUGGCUGGAGUGCAGGAGGGGCAGGCGGAAUGCCUGGUGUAGCGGUGAAAUGCGUAGAUAUCAGGAGGAACACCGGUGGCGAAGGCGGCCUGCUGGACUGCAACUGACGUUGAGGCCCGAAAGCGUGGGGAGCAAACAGGAUUAGAUACCCUUGUAGUC